rnacentral:tRNA from 1 species
GCGGGCGCGCCGACGUUGGAGAGUCGGGCCUGGCUGUAAACCAGGUGCAUCGCUCAGGGGGUUCGAAUCCCUCCGCCCGCA